rnacentral:lncRNA from 1 species
CCCGCCGCUCCCGGUCCCGCCGCUCCCGGCGCUUCCUGCGCGGCCUCGGGCGGGGCCUUUCCCGGGGCAAGGUCCGGCCCGGGCGGGGCCGUUCGUACCGGGGGAUGGGGGAUGCGGGGCCCGGGGCUGCCGGAUCGGGGGUGCGGGACCGGGCCGAGGAACGGGACAGGAACCGGGACCGGGGGGGUUCGGGCCCCUCCUGCGCAAUUUGCCCUUAUAUGGGCAUGGCGCGCGCCGGCCGCGCAUUCCUGCGGGGCGGGGCCGGCGGGUCCCGGAGCGCUCCCGGUUCCGCGGGACCCGCCGGGCUCCUCCCGCUCCCCCGGGAUCCAUCGGGCCCGAGCAGCAUCCCCGAGGGCGGAGGCCCGAUCUGCAUCCCGGCCGGUGUCGGGUUCCACCGGGAACCGGAUCCCGCCGGGAAACCGGAUCCACCGGGAAACCGGAUCCACCGGGAACCGGAUCCACCGGGAACCGGAUCCCGCCGGCGAGCGAAACCCGAGCCGGGGCCGAGGGGGGGCUCUGAAGGGGUCCCGGGAUGCGGCUGUGGGGUCCCCGCGGUGCCGGGGCUGCAGCGGGGUGGGAGAGCCGGCGGGUCCCGGAGGAACAAACCCGGGGGUCUCGGGGGUCCCGGAGGUGCUGGCGUGGGGGUCCCGGUGUCCCGGGAGGUCCCGGCUGUACCGGAGUCGGGGUGCCAUGGGGGUCCCGGCACGUUCAGGGUCCCGGUGCCCCGGUGGUCCCGUGCACAGGGAGGGUCCCGGUGUUCCGACACUGACCCGGAGGUGGUCCCGGUGGUCCCGGCGCUGACCCGGGGUGGUCCCGGCGCUGACCCGGGGUGGUCCCGGUGGUCCCACACUGACCCGGGGGUGGUCCCGGUGUUCCCGGUGGUCCCGCACUGACCGGGGGGUGUUCCCGGUGUUCCCACACUGACCCGAGGGGGUGUUCCCGGUGGUCCCGCACUGACCCGGGGAUGUUCCCGGUGGUCCCGCACUGACCGGCGGUGGUCCCGGUGUUCCCACACUGACCGGGGGGGUGUUCCCGGUGGUCCCACACUGACCGGGGGGGUGUUCCCGGUGUUCCCGCACUGACCGGGGGGGUGUUCCCGGUGGUCCCGCACUGACUGGGGGGGUGUUCCCGGUGUUCCCGCACUGACCCGGGGUGGUCCCGGUGGU